CCGCCAGCCCGCCGCGUCUGCCCGCCCGCUCGGCGCUGCCCCGGGAGCGGAGCGGCAUGGAGCACGGCCCCGGCCCCGGCCCCUCUAUUGCUACCACCCCACCACACUCGAGUUGGAAGGAAGAACUGUUAAGUCAGAGCAGCAGCGGGACUCAGAUUUCAAUUGCCAGUGGGAUCUCCUUGGGAGAAGUGAUCCGGCAGCGAUCUGCUAUCAAUCAGGGAAUGGAACCGUGGUAUCAGCUCCCAGCAGAAGCGGAUGCCAGCCAUCUCACGGCAGCAUUGGGCACGAGAGUGGACUUGACCACAGGUGAAAACAACCUGACCGAGUUCCCGACCUUAGAGGAGGGCUCGUUGACGCUGACAGAAGAGGCUGGGACGCAGCAUGAAGAUGUGACGCACAACCCACUGCCAGAAAUUCAGGACAGUCGCUUCUCUCCCCGUUUCCCACUGUUGAUGACCUAUGCUACACCGGGUCAAAGGCUUUUGGAUGAAACCCUGUUUCAGCAAACCGAUCUGAAUUUUGCUCCGCUAAGAGGAACCCCUGAUGUUUCUGGUGCUUCUGAGCAGCAUUUAAGACCUUUGCAGAUCAGUGAAGCUGUGCAGCUGGCAGCCACCGAAGUAACCUCACAUUCAGACAGCGGCACGCUGUCCCAACAUCCACUUGCAAUCAGUGCAUUUGAACCUUACGGUGUCAACUGCAGCAGCUAUGUAUCUCAGCCCCGACUUUCCUCGUCUGGACAGAUAACUGUGGAGAGGAAGCAGGCGGCUGAAGGUCAAGAUUGUAAAUCUGACUUCAGUGUCACGGAUUUGCUUCCUAAAGAAGGUGGCGAGGAUUUAACAACCCCGACUUCAAAAUGGUUGCAAAAUGAUUCGGCUAAAUCACAGCAGUCAGAAACUCCUUUUGCAACGGAGGCCAAAAGUGCUUUUGUAAAUGAUGAUCCCUUCUUUCUGGACAGCAGAGUUCCAGCUCCUGCUCUCCUCGAGUUGCUGGAGACAGAAGUAGGCGUAACCAGCCACGGUGGCUUCUCAUCUUCUUCAGAGAACUCCUCGUGCAAGAGUGUGUCGACUAAAGACCCAGAGAAACAUAAAACAAGGCAGCAGGUGGAAAACACAGAUCUGGCUGAGUGUGAGUCAAAAGCAUUAGAAAAAUAUCAAGAGUUACAUCAGCAGCUGGAAGGAGGAAAGAGCACUUCUGAGCUUGGUUCUUCCAAGAUGUCUGAACCCCUUCAAAACACUAAUGCCAAAGAUGCAUCUUCUACAAAGUCUACUGAAAUGUUCGUGUUGCCUAAGGGGCACGGCGCAAGUUUGAGCAACUCUGCUCGGCUGCAAUUCUCCAGUGUAACUAGAGAGCCUCGAGGAGCUCUUCUGGCCGAGCAGCCAAAGCAGCUGUGUCCUACAGUGAUGUCUGAGCAACACAAAGAGGAACCUGCCCCUGAUGUGGUAACAACGAAUCUCAGGGGCAAUCAGCCUCACCCGUCAAUCACGACUAAUCCAAAAUCUCCUUCACCCUCCAGUGAAAAGGAGACGUCUGUUGUGGAAAUCCAGGCUGGAGUUAGUGGACGUGAAUCAACUCUUUCGGAUGUUAUCGUAGAGAGAGGACACAAAGACGCAGGAAUUUCACCUUCAUUUAACCUUCCCCCAGGUGAUGGCUCCUUCUGUGGAUAUCUGGCCUGUCCAAUCUAUCAGUCCACCCCAGGGUUAUUUUUAGGCAGACAUAUGAAGGAGGAAGUACCUGGCAUGGUUAUUCCAAUCAAAUCAAGCCUUCAGGCCUCUCUUACAGGCUUAAAUGAAGAAACUUCUGCGAAGUCUUCUGCCAGCACACUUACACCUUGUGUCGAGAAGUGUCAUGCACCCACAAAUGGGCAGGAAGAAAACAGAGAGUCGUUAGGAACAGCCUAUCCGUAUACGGGGAGAAUUCAGUCUCUGCCUUCACUUAGUUUUAUGGAGAAAGUCGGGGCUUGGAACGUGAGCCAGUCGGCGGAGAAGAUGUCUGAAGCUUUGGCUUUACACAGCCUGGGUGGAGUUUCUCCCAGGAAGCAAACAUACAGCACAAUUGCAGAUUCCUUAAACCAUAUUUUAUCAAAGCAGAACAACAGCGGUAACCUCAAGAGUGGUCUAGCUGCAUCCUUUGGAGGAGAAGCAGGUUCAGUGACAAGCUUGCAUUUCUGUGACACAAAAUCGACACAUGCUGCACCUCUUGCUCGGUCGCAGUCUGACCAUUCGGUCAAUGCAAUUAGCAGGGAAGCUUCACAGAUUGAAGUUGUUCAGGUAACAAAUCCAGAGGAGGUGGUUCAGCCUACAGCAGGCAAGAGCAGUGAUUUUGCCAUGCCUGCACUUAAAAAAAGUGAAGAAAGCUUAGUAGACUACACGAGCCAAAAAUUUAAAGCUGUCCUUGUCAGUGCUGGGUCCAGUGAUGACGAACAUGAUGAUGAAGAAAAUAGCACGGGGCAAAUUUCAGACCAAAAUAUCUUAAUUUCCAGUGAAAGGGUUGCCCAGCUUCUGAGACAGGAAGGAUGCGAUCCAAAUGAUAAGGAGAAGAAAUACAGUCGUUUAGAAGAUGAGCCUAGACAGCUGCAUGGCCCAGAGCACUCUACAGGCCAUAUCAGCAUGGACAAUUUCAGUGAUAUUUCUCCAGAUAGUUUGAACCUCCUGGUGAGUUCUCAGGCCAGUAGCCAGGUUGACCUGACUUCGGUAAGCCCCUCUUCAGUAGUUUCCAAGCACUUCUUCAACAAUUCAGAAGAAGAGAACUUCACCCCUUCUUGGGCUCCUGCUUGGAAAACUCCAGAUGAAAAAGAACUAAAUAUUGAAGAAAGGAUACCAACCUAUCUCCGUAAUCUUGGCAUUGACCAAUCACCUUCAAGUAUACUGACUCCGUUUGCACCCAGAGGUCCAAUCAGAGAGGUUGAAUUUUCCCCGUCCGAGCUCAGAACAUUGAAGGGGUCCACUGACACGUUAACAAAGCAUGUCCAGCUAUCUGAAGGAGGCUCUCUGUCUGCUGUCGACAUCACACAGAUCAGCUUUAACUCGGGCAAUUCGACUCUCAGUAUGUCAAUAGCAAUGGGCUCGGAUGGUGGACCUGAUACUCCAGUACCUACCGAACUCUCACCUCAGUAUUCAAGAUCGUCGAAAGACAAACCAUUGAGUCAGUGCAGUACUGCCGCCUACCCCCAACUACAACUGCUUACUCCUCUUCCAGAUGAAGGCAGCUUGAAGUCUUCAGUUGCCCCCAGAUUAGUUGAGCCAAGGCAGCAAUUACAAGCCGUUGCCUCCGAUUUCCACUCAGAUGAAGAAGAUCCUAUGCUUGUUUCAAAGCACGUUCAAGAUCUGAUCGAUAGAUGCGACUCAAGGGAUAUUAGUAGCAGCCUAGAGAAGUUGUCUACCAGUUCGUUGGCUGAGGAUAUCGGUGAAAUGGAAGUAAAAGGAGAACUACUCUCUUCAAAUGCAGUUGCCUCUGAAAAUGAACUAAACAAGGACCAAGGAAAUGAUCCUUUCAUUGAAUCCAGCACGUUGAAAGAGAUCCAGAAGCUUUUAGCAGAGGCAGAGAAAAUGACUCUGAGUCAGUUUGAUCCUGUCCUUUCUCUUACCCCCUCCAGAGAAGUCACUGACCCUUCACCGGCGUCAACUAAAAAGAAGGAUGGUGUUGAAGAUUCCCAAUUAGUGAGGGACCACAGCCCAGCGCUUGAAAGGCUGUUGUCCCGGGAUGAAACGUUGACCCGAAAGAGCAUGCAAGAAGAUAACUCACUAAUGAAGACUCUCCAUUCCUGCAAGGACAGUUUAAAAUCGGAAGGAGCACUUGCUGGCGAUUUACGGGUCAGUCAAGAAACUGCAGAACGGCAGACUAAACCAGCAGAGAAAAUAGCUGGUGAAGAUUUCAGGGUAGCAAAACCCGUUGGAAGGUCUGAGCCAGAGGGCUGCAGUAGUGCAACCACAGAUAAAAACCUGCUUGCUCCUCUGGCUGUUAUGAAGAGCGCUACAAGUAGUGAAUCAAGCAUCAGAAAGGUUUUCGAACUGGAAGAUCCUCCUACUGCAGUGCCGCUCCGGACCGGUGCCACUGUCCUCAGGGACUGCCAGCACGGCUCAUCUCAAGCUAGUUUAGCUGGCAGCAAGGAGGGGGAUGUCAUUCAAGGGAGUGAUGACAGUAGCAGCUUAGAUUCACUAGCUGCCCGUGUCAGAAGCCUUCUGAAAUACGAAUCCCCGGCGAUACACGCAACACAAAUCCUGAAGAGCGUAGAGGAAGAGGAGAAAAAAGCGCGAACCUGGGUGAAGCUGAAACUGGCUAGCCAACCCCACGGCUCCUUGCCAGAUCUGAAUGAGGAGGACAGGAAGCGAAUAGAAGAAAUCAAGGCAGAGCUGCUUUUGAGUGCCAGGAAAUCUGCAUUAGCCAAGGAUUCAUGGGGAAACAGCUCAGACAUUAUACCCAGUCACAGCCAUAAUCAGAAGCACUACCCUGAACAUUUCCACUCUCCACAUAGCGAACAGAUGCAAACUGAUAACCAGAUGCAGGAUUUCGAACUUGAGCCUUCAGAGUCGUAUGGAAGAUGGGUCAUGCCAGUAUAUACAACUGACUCACCUGAUUAUUCACUGUCGAGUAAUACACAGUUUAAAGCUUUGGAUACCUUCCAAGCACAAAUCCCAAACCAGCUUCACACCCUGGCAACUAAUCCCUUUGAUAUCAGUAUUGAGCUUACCCCCUUGUGUAAAGGUGUGGAUGCAUGUUUGAUGGGAUUGGUGGAUGCCUCUAAUGCACAAACAGAAGAGGACGUGCCUUUUCCAGCUCAGAAGAAGCUAUCUGUAGAAAAACCACCUGCAGAAAUUGCUAAACAGAUUACCUCCAUCACAUUUGCAUCCAGAAAACGUUCCCCGUCUCCUGUCCUUGGUACUAGCCUCACUGAAGAUGCUCUUCGUGGUGUAAUACCCUUGCAAGAUGGAUCUACUAGCACUGAAAAGCAGCGACUUGAAAAGCGACCUCUAGAAACUUCUCGGUCAUGUCCUUCAAGUCCAACAGCCACUUGCAGUCUAGCUAGUGGUGUUAAGCCUACUGCAGACCAAGACAGUUUUCAGCAUGUGGCCACUGGUGUUGCCAAACCUGGAGCUCAUCAAGGGAAAGACCAAGCCCAAGAGUCUAAAUCCAUAUAUCCUGACCCAUGUUUCAGCCUUGUGGCAACUAGUUUUGAAGCAGCUCAGACUUCUGCUCAAGAUGCUGUUGGGUUGGGCAGGCUUAAUGCCAGACUUUCUGUGGCUGAUUGUGAUAAGAAAUUUAAUCAAGAAUCAAAUACAUUGAGUGAACCCGUUCCCAUAAGUUUUUAUCAGCCAGGAAAGACGAGUCCCUCCAGCCAAGCCCAGUUUACAGAAGGUCCGGUUUAUAGCCCACAAGCUCAUAUGCUUAAAGGCCAUAAUAAUUUGUUAGAAAAGGAGGAUAAGCUUCCAUUUGAUAUACUCUCUCUCCAUCAGAGAGAGAUGGAGACAGGACAUAGUAAUGGGAUGCACAAUCCCUCCCCAGAUCAGAUUUUGGCCACCAUGCCGGUAUCCCCGUCAUCUCCAACUAGAAAGGCUUUGUCUUGUGUCCGUAUAACUCUCUCCCCAAAAUGUGCUACUUCAGAGCCAUGCGGUAACCUCAGAGCUGAAGCAGAAACAAGGUUUAACGACAGAAUUAAGAGUGAUGUUCAGCCAACACUUGUAAGGUCUCCAAAAACUUUGUUAGGGCCUGUCUCAAAGUUACCAACCGCUGAACUUGUUCCAGUGGAUCAAGGGUCUUCAUACUUCCCAAGGCCAGGAUCUUCACCACCUCCGUCUCCUGCGCAUCCCUUUGUUCCCGGCACAGCAGGACUAGCACACGAUAUAAAGCGGGUGUCCCUGGAAAGCAGCCAGAGAGUCCCCUCCUUGAGGGAGGCACACACCAGAGGUCUGGAUACAAGUGGACGUAACGUGCAGGAUAGCUUCAGGACCCUGGUUUCUGCACAGACUGGAAAAACAACAUCUGAUGCCAUUACUCAGAUCACAACAGAAAGCCCUGAAAAGACAACGUUUUCAGCAGAGAUUUAUGUUAGUACAGAAGAGGAGGAAAACCCUGCCCUCGUAUCCUCUCGCCAGAAGGCACGCAGAAUCCCCAGCCUUGCCGCUUCAUCUCGCAACCAGAUUUUCUCGUCCCACAGGCCAGCUGUACGUGCAGAUCAGCCUUUACUGGUGCCGUAUAAGCCUUCUGGUAGCCGAGAGAUGUACUACGUUCCCCAUCCAAAGGAAGCACCCAAAAUAUCUCCCGUCAGGUCAGAGACCACUAUUGAGAGCUCUCACUCAGGAUCGAAUGAUGCCGUCCCUCCAAAAUUUCCAGUGAACGUACUGGGGUCAAGGGAAGAGAGUCCUCCAGACGUAGCUAUUAAACACAAAGAGGGUAUCUACAGCAAGAGGCCUGAGCCCAAGCUAGCCUGGGGAAAAGAAAAAAUGGCACCACAAGAAUCUGAUACAGAGUCUGCAAAUCCUUUGAAAGCUGUAAGAACGACCCAUUCUGUCUUCAAGUCAGCACAGUUCUACCUUCACCAUCCAGUGCCUCUGCAGCAUGAGAAUUACUUCCUCUCAAACAGCGAGUCCUCCGAGGAGUAUCCUGAUACUGGACCCAGCGGACUUCCUUCCAGAGACUGCUUCCAGAAAACGAGAGCUGCAGAAAAGGACCACUGCCCACCUCUUCUUUAUCGUGAAGAGGACAAGGAAGAUGAAUUCGCACCACUAACCACAGUAAUGGACUACAGCAAGAUUGAGGACUCCCAAUUCUGCGCAUGUCUAGGCAAUGAAGCUUCUCAGAAGGAAUUAAUAAUCCAAGAUGACAAAAGGCAGGCAAGCCAGACAAAGGGCAGAGAUUAUCCGCCACGAAGCAGCCAAAUGACUGGCUUUCAAGUGAGGCCGAAGAAGGAUCUGCCACUGAAACAGAGUACCGAUUCCACUGGCAGCUUAGACGACCUCUGGGCCAAGUUUUUAGAGCGCCAAAAGAAGCACCCGCUCCCUAAUAUUCGGAGCAAUGAGCUGUCUUUAGUGGAGCGCCUUGAUCGACUAGCAAGAGUCCUCCAGAAUCCCGUUCGGCAUACCCUGAUGCCUGCAAAGGAGGAGAGCGAUUUUGGAGGGAGGACUAAGGGAAGGGAACAGAAGAAAAUCAGACUUCAGGACUGGAACGAGUCUGACGCUCAUAGGAAUGCAUUGCGCGCUGAAGAAAGGCCACAGACCACUUAUGAUAAAAAAAGGCUGGCAGAAUCACGAAAAUAUAGGGCAGGAGAAAGAACCAUCAGUCGCAUCAAGCGAAUCUUGGAACAGCAGCAGUACUCGGAUACCUUGAGUGACACCUCUUCAGAGCCCAAGUCUGCUAACGACCACAGCAGGGUGGCAAUUACUACCACCUCUGAAUCGGACGUGGUGUCCCAAACAGAGACAGAAAUGGCUACUCAGACUGAGGUGAGCAGUUCCGUUUCCACCAUUGACACUGCCAGGCUGAUCAGGGCUUUUGGGCACGAAAGAGUGCGCGUGUCACCAAGACUGUCCCACCUGUAUUUUACCAUCAGCCAGCAGAAAAGUCGCUCUGACAUUUGGGGCCAGGGAAGCAGGAAAGGAAAGGGUGUGGAGUAUCCUAAAGCUACUUAUGCUGAGCUGCAUAGAAAAAGAGAGAUCCAGGUAGUCGACUGCGUUUCAUCAGACUCUGUUUCUACGGCCAGCAGUUCCUGGGGGCCCAGCUCUGCUCUCAGUACCAAGCGCCGCGCACGGAUGUUGAACAAGGGCAUCCAAGCAGGAGACUUGGAGAUUGUGAAUAGUGCAACUAAGAAAAACACGCGAGAUGUUGGUGUGACUUUCCCCACGCCGAGAUCUGGCCAAUCAAGGCCCCGGGAACCCUGGAGUAGUGCUGAUGGUGUUUGCGGGGAGCCUGAUGGGCCGGUUUCAGAUCUUCAAAUGCCACUAGGCAAGGCUAGGCAAAAGGGGCACACAAGCAGCCUGCUAAUGGACAAGAAGACCAAAAGGAACAGGCCACAGCUACCACAAGUAGGAGUUUCCUGGUUUGUUCCUGCUGAGGAUUUAAAAUCUGACUCGAGGAAGGAGAACAGAUCCAGUUCCUUCUCUGGUCCUGGACCAUCCUGGUUUGAACCCCUGGCCAACACAAAACCCUGGAGAGAGCCUCUCCGAGAGAAGAAUUGGCAAGAGCGGCGAGGCAGCAGCCUAGUUCAACCCAUAAUCCCAGUAAGAGAUGUUGAAAACAAGCCCCCACGGUCACUUGUGAAAAUGACACUGCAGGAAGCUCUCGUGUUGCACCGCCCUGAUUUCAUCUCUCGCUCUGGCGAGCGUGUGAAGCGUCUGAAGCUCAUCAUGGAAGAAAGGAAGAUCCAGAGCGUGUUGCAGAAUGAGCGCGAGGAACUGUUUAAUCCCCCUGAGAAAAGGAAGGUCUAUAAGAACGCUAGUUGCCUGCUCUCCAACAGAGACUUCCAGGUUAGACAGGAAAGGAGGACUAUUCCAAAGGGAGAAAUGGUCCAAAGAUCCAAACGGAUCUAUGAGCAGCUGCCAGAGGUGCGGAAGAGGCGAGAAGAAGAGAAAAGAAAAUCGGAAUAUAAUUCAUACCGGCUGAAAGCACAGCUUUACAAAAUGCUCCUCGUUUCUAUGCCGGAGAAGGAGGGGGAUUUCCACCCUGUUCUGGGAUCCAUAUCUGAGGCUCAUACCUGGCCUUUAGGAGGAAAUGGAUGAUUGAUUCAUCGUGCUUUUAUGGAAGUAAAACUCUGACUGACAGGGAACGACCGUCAUUUUAAAAUAAGUUCCUGAAGUGGCGCAGAACAGAAAAUCACCAACCGUGUCUUGGGGAGAAAAGUGCCUUGGAACUGAUCAGAACGACGAGCGUCGGUUUUUAAAGGAGGUGUAUUGCAGUCGGUGAAUUCCCAGCGCCUUAUAUAUGCAGAUCAGCUGGUGAAAAUAGAGUACUCAGUAAAUAUUUCAGUAUGCAGAGUGUAGUUUGCAUUGGUCGUCGUGUCACUGUGUCUAACUAGUUUGGAUUUAUUUAUAUUUUUUAAGAAUCGGUGAUUUUUUUGCGUGUGGAUAGCUGUUUUUUGGGGUUUUUUACAUUCUUUUUUAUAAGCAAUUGGUUUCAAUAGUGUGAUCCCCUUUCCAGAUCAAUGUAGUUUGGAGGUAUUUAUAUAUGUAUUUAAGAAUCGGUGACCUGAUGUGGAUAGUCAUUUUUAUAUAUUUAUUUUUAAUACUGUUUUUAAAAGAUUUUUUUUUUUGUACUUGUCCUUUUUACUUGUUUUUAUUUUCCUAGUGCCACGUGGAAGAAUUAUUUGUAACGUUUUUGUAUUGCUGAAAAAAUAAAAAAAAUGACUUCGGA